AUGGCGGGGAUGGGCGCCGCGGCGGCGGCGAGGUGCAUGAACGCGGCGUGCGGCGCGCCGGCCCCGGGGGCGGGGGACUGGAGGAAGGGCUGGCCGCUGCGAUCCGGCGGCUUCGCCGUGCUCUGCGACAAGUGCGGGUUGGCGUUCGAGCAGUUUGUCUUCUGCGAUAUAUUCCACCAAAAGGAGUCCGGUUGGAGGGACUGUUCGUUUUGUGGGAAGCGUCUCCAUUGCGGUUGUGUUGCUUCGAAGAAUUCCUUUGAUCUACUUGAUAGCGGAGGAGUUCAAUGCGCGAAUUGCAUGAAAAAUCCAGGAGCUCACCCUGUUUCAUGUCAAGUGGCUCCAAAGCUUUUUUUACCUCCUCAAAAUAACCAGAGACUCUUUGGUAAAAGCGAUGAGUUGUUGCCAGGUAGACCGUUGGAGUCACCGUCCCUUAUGAUCGAUUCCAGAAAUGAUGAUAUUGCUAUUAUAGCUAAGAGCAAUCAUCCAUUCAUGGUAAAAAACUUGGAAAUCGGGCAAAGCAGUAACAAUUUGAGGCAAAAGGAAAUUGAAAAUGGCGCAAGGCAGAUUAAGUGGGAGCAACCAACACUCAGUAUUGGGGACAUGGGAAGGAUGCCUUUCUUAAUUAGGCCUCAGAGUGCAUUAGAGUCUCCCCAAUCCCAGUGUACACGAAGAGAUGAUAAUAGAGACCCUACAGCCGAUAGCACAACAAGUGAAUCAAUUUCAGAGGCAGGCCUCAGUAUGAGCUUAGGCAUUGCUAAUAAUGGAAACAAGAUGGAGGCUACUUCAACUAUGGAAAGACCCAUGGUGUCACCAACAACACCGUUUUCUGAAGGAAGAGAACUUGCUACCACAUUAUCUCCAUUUCAGCAUGCGCAGAGGGCUCGGCAUUUUCUCACCAGACCAUCAAGGGUUGCCGAAGGUGCUGCCUUCGAUCCAAUGAGAGAUGGUUUUCCACAUCUUCGUGUUGCCAGACCACCUGCUGAAGGAAGGGGUCGCAAUCAAUUACUUCCACGGUAUUGGCCAAGAAUAACAGAUCAAGAGCUGCAGCAAAUUUCUGGAGAUUCGAAUUCAACCAUCGUUCCACUGUUUGAGAAGGUUCUAAGUGCUAGUGAUGCAGGCCGCAUAGGACGACUUGUUCUUCCAAAAGCCUGUGCCGAGGCCUAUUUUCCACCAAUCUCUCAGCCAGAAGGUCGUCCCUUGACAAUUCAAGAUGCAAAAGGCAAAGAAUGGCAUUUUCAGUUCAGAUUCUGGCCAAAUAACAACAGCAGAAUGUAUGUCUUGGAGGGUGUUACACCAUGCAUACAGUCCUUACAAUUACAAGCUGGUGAUACAGUGACCUUCAGUCGGAUAGAACCUGGAGGGAAACUUGUUAUGGGCUUCCGAAAGGCCACAAACACUGUCAGUUUGCCAGACUCACAGAUUUCAGCCAUUGCAACUGGUUCCCUUCUCGGUGAUUCAUUCUUUUCUAACACAAAUGAGAAUCUAUCCAUAGUAAGUGGUUACUCAGGAUUUCUUCAGUCAAUGAAGGGAGCUGCAGAUCUCCAGCCAAGCUCUCUAUUUGAUCAUCAUGCCAACUCAGCUGAUGGGGAGGUUAGUUGGCUUAAGGCAGAUAGAUUUGGUGGCAGGCCAGAUGAGGGGUCUUUUCAGUUUUUACACAAAAAAAGCCGCAAUAUUGGUUCCAAAAGCAGGAGGCUUUUAAUGGAUAACGAGGAAGCCCUGGAACUGAAGCUUUCCUGGGAAGAGGCUCAGGAGUUGUUGCGUCCUGCUCCAUCUGCAAAACCAACAGUUGUGAUGAUUGAGGACUAUGAAUUUGAAGAAUAUGAUGAACCUCCUGUCUUUGCAAAGAGAUCAAUUUUCACCAGUCGUUCUACAGGGGAACAAGACCAAUGGAUUCAGUGUGAUGAUUGCUCAAAAUGGCGUCGUCUGCCUCUUAAUGUCAUUAUUGCCUCCAAGUGGAGAUGUGCUGACAACACAUGGGAUCCAAAAAGCUGUUCCUGCUCUGCACCUGAAGAAUUAGCCCACAAGGAAUUACAAAGUAUUCUCCAGCAGUACGAAGAGAUCAGGAGGCGGAAGAGCAACUAUUUCUUGAAGCAGAGCAUCCCCGAAAUGGAUGCGUCGAGCCUUGACGCGUUGGCCACUGCCGCAGUCUUUGGGGAGGUCGGGAACCAAGGCGCUGCUUCUGUUGCAACGACCACCAAGCACCCCCGGCACCGGCCCGGCUGCACUUGCAUAGUGUGCAUCCAGCCGCCCAGCGGCAAGGGGCCGAAGCACAACCCGGCGUGCACUUGCAACGUGUGCAUGACUGUCAGGCGCCGUUUCAAGACGCUCAUGAUGAGGAAGAAGCAACGGCAGUCCGAGCGAGAGGAGGCCGAGGCGAGCAAGAGGAUCUCUUGGGUGGGCAGGGACGAGCCCGAGGGAAGCAACCUGUCGCGGUCCCCCCAGACGGUGGACACCAUGCGAGACGGCGACGUGAUCAUGUUCGACAAGGCCGACGCGAGCAAGGGCCACAUAGACCUCAACUUCCACCCCGCUAGCCGCGAGGAGGAGCAGCAGCAUGGCGGCCAGCCCCGGGUGAGCAUGGUCAGCCUCCUCGAGGUUGCGAACCGCCCCUUGGAGAGCUACAUGAAGCAGAACGGCCUGGUGAGCCUGGCGGCGGAGCAGGGGAGCAGCUCCGGCACGGCCACAGUCCCAUCUCAACCCGCUCCGAUGGAGAGCGAAGAGCGGCCCUCCGACGAGGGGCGUGCCGUGCCGGUGGAGCAGGAGCGGGAGCCCACCGAUAACAUGGCCGUCGAUGAGGCAGCCGGUGAGAACCAGGGCCAUGCUGCCAGUGCCAGUGACAUCGCUGCUGCCUGA
rnacentral:rRNA from 1 species